GAAUCAAUAGUCAUUCUAUCAAAAAAUAUCACAUAUAAACAUGCAAAAUUCCAAAAACAAAUGAAAUCAUUCCAAAAAAAAAACAAAUCAAGAGAUGUCAUACCCUUUUACUACUGCCCGUAGCAGUUAUUACCGGUGGCUGUACGUCACACCCUAAAUUCCCCACCAAAGAUUUUCCCUUUGUUAAUUGCAUUUAGUUCAUACGCAUCAUCAUCAUACUAUGACCAUUUCAUUUGGUCAUUAAGUCUCAUUUGUGUUACUAAUUUGAUAACGAUUUAGGUGUCAUUUUAGAACAAAAGGAAGAGUUUCUUUGCUUAUUUUCAUUCAUUUUUGGCUCUGUGCAUUUACAUUGUCCUAUACCAUAAGCAUUAGGCUAACUACAUCAUAGGAUCAUCACAUUUACAUUUGAAAAAGUUCUUGUCAAGUUAAUAUCAAUUGAACUUUGUUUUAGCGUAUUUUUUUCUUCAUAUUAUUAUAUCACCAUCCGCCAAUUUUAAAAUAAAAACAAGGCGAAUCAAAUCAUAUCCUUUUGAUUUCCUUUUGAUGAAAAUUAACUUUGCAAAAACCUUGUUGUGAUACAUUCAUUUUUGGGCAAAAUUGAUUUUGAGUUAAAUAGCAAGUUUCUAAGUAAACUAGGUUUGCCAUUAAUUUAUCAAUAUCACUUGCAUUUUCUAUACAUCUCCCUUUGGUCUUGAAAAAUAAGAUAUUGUUGAUUUUGUACUUAAAGCAUAAAAUUAAAUUAAAAACCUAAAUACAAAUUGAGCUAAAAUUAAAAUUGAACUUUUGGGUUACUUACAUAACUUGUUUGACAUGUUUACAAGCAUGAAAUCACUUCGUCAUGGAAAAAAAUGAAAGAAAAUUUAAUAAAAAUGGUUACAUUAACACCUCAUGUCAACUAUCACCACAUUACCAGCAUGCAUCGUACAUGAGAAAACAUCCCAUUCAAAUGACUUUGAAAAACGAAUGUCAACUUGAACCAAAAUGUAUGAGCAACAUCAUACAUCUAUCAUCAUCCUCAAUAAUGGAACCUCACAAACCAUGAGUAAAAAAGAAAAGUAAAUAAAUUUAAAAAGGAGAGAUUGCUUAUCUGAAUCUUGAGCUCGUCGGAGACCAUCGUGCCGGAUGUAGCAGUUGUUAUCAGAGUUAUUUUUGUUGUUGUUUUUAUUGCUUUCAUUGUCAUUUAUCGUUGCGAUUUACGCUUCCCCUAUGAUAAGUUGUACAUAAUAUGUUGCAACCGUGAUGAGUUUAAUGGAUUAGGUUAGGGAUUAUGGGGGAUAGGGUUUUUCAAUUUGACUAAUUCCUUGUGUUCUUGUUAAAUGUGUUUGGGGAUUCCUAACCGUGAGUGAGUUUUAAUGAGGUUUUAUGUUGAUGGAUUUAGGGUUUGAGGGAGUUUUGUGUAAUUUAGAAAAGGAGGGAUGGACACCAUGAUUGGUUCUUUAUUAAACUAUAUUUUGAAAUAAGAGAAACAAGUUAAAUGCUUGUAAUUGUGUUUAUUAAGAGAGAGAGAGAGAGAGUUUUAGUCUAAAGAAAGAGAAAGUGUUUUUGAAAGUGAUUUCAUAUGCCUUCAUUUUUCCUUUUAAUCAUUGCGACCCUUCCAAUGUUCAAGCACAUGAUAGAGUUUUGGUCCUUUUCAUAAGAAUACUUUCUCUUUUUGACUUGGGAUCCUGCGUGGGACCCCAUCAUAACUCAGUGCACC
rnacentral:lncRNA from 1 species